rnacentral:rRNA from 1 species
GAUCAUGGCUCAGGAUGAACGCUAGCUACAGGCUUAAUACAUGCAAGUUGAGGGGCAGCAUGGUCUUAGCUUGCUAAGGCCGAUGGCGACCGGCGCACGGGUGAGUAACGCGUAUCCAACCUGCCUUACACUCUUGGACAGCCUUCUGAAAGGGAGAUUAAUACAAGAUGUUACCAUGAGUAAGCAUUUUCGCAUGAUUAAAGGUUUACCGGUGUAAGAUGGGGAUGCGUU